CACUUCAAAAUCACAUUUUCUAAGAUGACUUUCUUAAUUCUGUAUAUUGCUGUAGAUGGCAAAGGCAGUGAUGGAGGCAUAUCCUGCACUUCCAGCCAUGUCCUUUCCAACUGCAAAGAGGGACAUGGCUUUGGAAAGGACCAACUUUGCACUGGCAGUACUGAAGGAUUCAGUAUUUGAUAUGGACAACAACUGUGCCAUGUGCUCUGCCUCAAAGCCCCCGGGAACAGGGCCUCCGACUACUCAUUGGAUACAGUGUGACACUUGCGGACGAUGGUACCAUGAGCAGUGUCUCAACCUUACAGAAGACCAACUCAAAAAGGCGAGGGUGGCAAAGUGGGCCUGUGAAAUUUGCAAAUAAACCUGAUGCCAACUUUUUGAGCCUUAUGUUUUAAUUUUAGGUAAUUAUGAAUAAUAUGGACAUACAAAAUACUUUAAAAAAAUAACACUCACCUGUAGUAGAUAGGACAUGAUAAACAUGAUGUACUACAGCAAAAAGAAUGAUAAAAAGUCAAUUAAUUGAUUUUUAGUGAAUAUUUUCAGGUCAUAAAUGCAUACUGUGGGCAUAUAAAGUACUUUA